rnacentral:lncRNA from 1 species
AUUUGGUGAAAGCUUUUUGGAGACAUUUAGUAAUAUAUAUCAAAACUUCAAAGGUUUGUAUUCUUUUACCUAGCAAUUCCACUCCUAGGAAUUUAUUCUAAAGAAAUAACUGGAUACAUGUACAAGGUUGUUUCUUGUAAAGUUCUUUACAAUAUUGAAUAAAUGAAAUAACUUAAAUGUCUAUCGAGAGAGGAUUGGUUGACUACAUUAGGAUAUAUCCAAAUGUUGAAAUGGCCUACAAGUGUGAUUUUGUUGUGGAAAUCUUAAUGUGUUUAUGUGGAAAACCAUCCAACACCAACAGAGAUGCAGUUAAAGUAUAGUGUUUACAGUAUGGAGCCAUUUAUGUUUACAAAACAUGGGGGUAUAAGGCUAGAGGGUACCAACUUUUACUUUCCCUGAAAUAUGUGAAUUCUCUUCAGCCACCAUGUAUUUUCAGGAAAAUAGCAACAAAGACAAACCCACUUUGGAAACAAGCUUAUAUUAAAGUAAGAUAAAAAUCAGAUUAAAAUUCCAUGCCUUCGUUUAAUAUGCUUGUACGUGUACAUUAAUUUCCACUAAAUUCAGGGAUUCUCACCUCCAGUUUGAAAAUAGUUAAAUUUAUGUGCAUGUGCGUAACACAUUUGAUGUUAAAUAACCCAUUUGACAUACAUUUCCUUAUCUUAAUUUCUUUGACAUUGAUGAAGUAAAUCUUAUCAUUCACCUUCGUUUAAUCUGUCCUGUGGGCUGAUUUUGACUAAUAAGUAGUACCGUAAGUAAAACCUGGUCUGUGUUCUGGAGGAGAUUCAACUCUGCGAUACAACAUACAGGGUCAGAGGAUCUUCUGACGAAAUGAGCUAAAAUAGUCAGAUGUGGCUCUCUUUCUGGCGUUAGCCCUUACAAUCAUCUAAGGAAAGCUGAAAAGAAUGUUUAGAGGCUAGAUUCCCACCAGGAAGUAAAAGCAGAAACAAUUUGUAAAUUUCUUUUAUAUAAGAAAGUAAAUAUUGAAGGAAUUUUUACAUCAAAUAGCCAGGUAGAAAUAAAUGACUUUAAUCGCUCUUUCUUACAGUCUGUUACGAACACAUUUGCUCAAGGGAUUUAAGAUAUUUGUUGACAGACGCGAAAAUCCAAAGUAAAGUAUCUUUCUGUACAUAUAUCAAUCAAAUCUGAGAUAAAAAUGAGUAAAUAUAUCAGAUCACAUGUCAGAGUUUUCUGGAUAGAUUAGAGCUGCAACUGGGGGCAUAUGACGGAAAAAAAUCAUCCCCUUAGAGGGCAACUAUUAUCAGAACUCCUCUGACAAUAAGCAACAGAAGAUAAGCUUAUGUAUUAGAAAGUAGUAGUGCCUUGCAGUUUAUUUCAAAAGGAAGCAAAAGGGCCAGCCUGGUGGCGCAGCGGUUAAGUGCACACAUUCCGCUUUGGUGGCCUCCGGUUCACGGUUCAAAUCCCGGGUGUGGACAUGGCACCGCUUGGCAAAAAGCCAUGCUGUGGCAGGCGUCCCAUAUAUAAAGUAGAGGAAGAUGGGCAUGGAUGUCAGCUCAGGGCCAGUCUUCCUCAGCAAAAACAGGAGGAUUGGCAGCAGAUGUUAGCUCAGGGCUAAUCUUCCUCAAAAAAAAAAAAAUGGAAGCAAAAAUAAUAUAGUGGUAGGUAUUCAAAGUUUCAGGUCAUGUAGGUAUCGACAGAAAACUAUGAAUUUAAAAGAUAGCGACAGAAAACUAUGAAUUUAAAAUAAAACCUGAAUUGAGAGGUGACUGAGAAAUGUGUGAUUAGACAUCAUUUGGAAUCAAUAAAUAUUCAUAACAAUAAAAAUACCAUGUGUAUGUGAGGAAGAGAGAAAUACUUGGAUAUGAAGCACAGGACAUUAACUGCAUGAAAAAUAGAAAAUUCUGGGGCUAUUUGAGAAAUAAAGCACUGAACUUUUAUUUAACAUAAGAAACUAUCAUUUCUUUGAGUCUUUCUGUAAAUGAGAAGAUUAAGGGCUUGUCUUGCAACUUCAUACAAAACUACGAUAAAUUUUUAAACAGACAGACAGUAUUUAGAACUGUAUUAUCCUUUUCAACAGGUUCCCAUUCUCCCCUGGCUCCAAUAUCGAAUAGAAAUGUCCUGUCUUUUGACUGGGUGAUAUGUGGUGGCAUCUUAUUCUUAUUCCUUUAGAUGAGACACAGGAGAAGCGUUUGCUGGAAAGGGGAUUCUCGGGCCCAGGGGUAGCCAGAGGGCCAGGCAUCUCACGGUCAGUGUUACUGCCCCUUUGCCCUAGCUGGCUAAUUUACUGGCUCCCUUUCUCCACUGUUAUUUUGGCCUCCUGGGCACGGGUUUGCAGCUUUGGCUGCACACUGGAAUCACUUGUGGAGUUUGAAAAAUCGAGAUGCCUGGCCUGGCCUGGCCAUCUGGAAGUCAGAUUUAAUUGGCCCGGGGUGUGGCUUGGCCAUCAGAAUUUGAACGAGUCCCCAGGUGAUGCUAAAGUGCAGGCAAUACUGAGAGCCAUCGCUCUAGUCAGCAAUUUUCAGAGUGUCAUCCCCCGACAGGCAGCAGAGCAGCGCCAGGGAAUGUGUUAGAAAUGCAAACUCUUAGGCUCCACCCUAGACCUGCUGAGUCAGAAACCCUGGGAGCAGGGCCCAACCGUUUGUGUUUUGCCAAGCCCUCCAGGUGAUCGGAUGCAUGCUGCAGUUUGAGAACCACUGCUUUAAGAAGUGAGCCUCCCACUGGCAAGAGUGAAGCAAGUAAAGAGUGAGUGACAGGCUGAUAAUUGAAGAGGAUUUUGAAGGCUUUUUCCCAGUGUUGAGUUCCUUCACAGGUUUUACUAUGUAACUGCUGACAUCAUGUGAAGUACGCCCAUUAUGAAUGCUUUUCCCGAUUCUUCCUCUGAAUUGAGGAUUUUUAGACUUAUCGGCCACCUGGGAGUAGACUCCAGGGAAAAUGAUGUCACUAGCUGUGCACAGGGGAUGGCCUUCUGUAUCUUCUGAUAAGACUGAGUCUGAAAAGGAAAUCAUACUGCUGUCAAGCAACUGAGGUUUUUUUUAAGGUUCUGGCAUCAUUUGCUAUGAUCACUGUAGUUAUAGGUCUAAUUAAAGCCUCUAGUCAGAGAAGUUGUUUAAUAAGUAUAAAUUCCAAGAGAACACUAAAUAUGCCAUCUCCUACGUGGUAAAAUCUCCAAAGGAGCACACAUUCUCCCCUGACCAGCAGUGUUCCUGGAGAUGAUUCAGUGCAGGUCACCCACGGACCACACCUGGAGAAGCUGACGACGGGGAGGUGGUGAACAGCACAGAACCUGAGAGCACCGUGCAGCAGCAUCAUUAUUAACUGCAGGUGAUUCUGACAGAGGACCAUUGCUUCAACCUCCAUAGAACUUCUCAGUGUCCUGGUGGUCCUACCUGACCUCGCUGUGGCCAGGGGAGUCUCCUAUUUCCUGUCUUCAAAAAACGAUUCUACCAGCUAAUAUUUUUUUCUUCGUGAUUAAGCUAUGGAUCAUGAUAAUUUUUUAUUUUUGUGUCCCCAGUGCGUUUCUCAGAGCCUGGCACACAGCAAGCACCCAAUAAAUGUUUCUGGAAUAAAUCAGUGGUUCUCAGACUUUACUCUGCGACAGAAUCACCUGGAGGACUUGUUCAAACAGAUGACCAGGCCCCGCCCCCAGAGUUUCCAGCUCAGCAGGCCUGGCGGGGGCCCAAGGAUGUGCAUUUCGAACACGUUCCCAGGUGCUGCUGGUGCUGCUGAUCUGGGGACCAGAUUUUGAGAUCACCAGAACAAACACAGUUUGAAUUGUUAAAGCUCUAAUUCUUUUAUUACGAAAUGAAAAUUUUUAUAUGUGGUUGAAGGAUUUAAACUUUUCCCAGUUUUUGAAUUGUCCUUACUUUUUCAUCAUUUUUAUUUUUUCCCUUUAAAAAUCUUAUCCUCUAGAAAUUGAAAAAGAAAAUCGUAUUUCUCCAGUGAUAGCUGUCCUAAAAUGUUUUAUUCUUUAUUUCUUCUCUAUUGGUGAAUUCUGUAGAGACAAAACAAUGGAAAAUAUUUGGAGAGCUCCUGUCGAUAACGGAUGCUUUCAAGUGCAUAUCUUCAACAUUGUGGAUGCAUAAUCUCACAGGAAAUUAUCUUUUAAUCUGAAGAUUUGAUUUGCAUUUUUGCUUGUUUGCUUAGUUGGGGUUUUUUGGUCAUACUCCUCAAAGUGGGUGGAAAUGUAAAGGAAGAGAGUCACACACAUAUCACGAGGCCAGUUACCGCUAGAAACAGAGCACAAUUAAGAAAGAUAAGUACUAAGGAGGGAUUUGUCCCGUUUGCCUGGGAUGCGGUAGUAUAUCCUUUUUAUUAUAGAAAUAAAUAUAAAAAUCAUCCUGUAUAUAUUUUCAGGAAACUAUUUCUUUGAAAAAAAUAGUUGACUUUUUUCCCUGUAUUUAUCCAGCUAGAGCUCAUACAGAGGGGACUGAUACUCCUGAUUUGUGCUUUUUCAACCUGCAAAGUCCUUCUUAGGAUUUAAGGAUAGCCUUCCUUCUUCACACCAAAUUAUAACAGUGCACUUUCCUCAUAAAAUACUCCCUGAAGGAGGGAUCAGCUUGCAGACAGCCUUACAUCUUUGAAUUUGGCUAUAGUAACAGUUUCUGGUGGUGAAGUAAUAAAAGGUAUUGAUUUUAUUUAUUGUACUCCCAUGAAAAGGCUGAAUAACUGGAUUGAUGGGAUGGAGGAUUGCUAAAAAUAUUUUUAUAGGGUUUGGAAAUUUUAAUCUCCUAUACAGUGCUGAAUUUGACUAUGUUGCUGGACUGCCAGGAGGCAUCUUAUAAACAGACUGUUGCAAUGAACUACUCUUGCGUGACCGUCAGUCGUGAAUACAUUUUUAUUGAGUGCGCACCAUGUUUGCAAUACUUUGUUAGAUCACUUUCUAUCUCAACAGGUUUUGUUUUGCCUUUUGCAUGCUUUUAAGGGAUACAAAUUGAUAAAAAAAAAUUGGUAAAAAUAAUUUUAUCGUUACCCAAAACGGGUAUAGUCAAGUUAAAACAUUUAAGAUAGUUUGUAUACAAUGAAAAGCACAGAUCGUAAACGUACAGUUGGAUAGAUUUUGACAAAGGCAUAUACUCCUGUAAUGCACACCCUUGUCAAUCAAGACACAGACAUUUGUAUCACCAGAGUUGCCUCAAAUCCCCUCCCAGUCAAUCCCCCUCGCUCCCACAAAUAACCGCUGAUCCCGUUUCUAUCGUCUGCACUCUUAUGUGUGACUUCUUUCACUCGGUCGAGUUCUUCUGAGAUUCAUCCCUGUUCUGGGUAUCAGCAGUCAGUCCCUUUUUAUUGCUGAGUAGUAUUCCAUCCAUUGUACAAGGCAUGGGCAAACUUCCUACAUUCCACUGAGGCUUCCCCAACAGAGCAAGAGAGCAGGCAGGAUUGAGGGCUAUCCUUCAUUACCUCCACCCCUCAUACAUGUAAGCCAUUUUUCCCCGAAGUGCAACCCUUGGACUUCCUUCAUCAGUAUCACUAGCACUCUACUAUUCGAUCUGAUCUUAUUAGAUCAGAAUCUAAAGACAGAGAAGAGGGCCUGGUAUUUCUAGCAAGCUCACUGUGGAAUACUUAGGAACAUUAAUGAUUGACACUAUUGCUUUAAGCAAAUAUUUUGCGAAUAGAAAGUGUUAAGGAAAGGGCUGGAAAAAUAAGAAACAAAGUGGCCAAAUUGCUCCCAGAAAUUCACAUCAAUGGACUGAACUAAGCGGGUUUCCAGGAUCACAACAGGCAGCCGACUGCGUGACGCGACAGGAGCAGGAGUCCUGGGGGCCGCCUAAGUAGAGGAGAGAGAGAGAGACUGGGAUGAGCAAGUCACCGCACCUGUCUGCGCUGGAAAAGAGGGGUCUGGGCAAAACAGCGGAGGAACAGGUGAGAAGGGAAGAAAGUCAGACUGUGAGUGUGUGGCGUCUCACAGGGAGAGAAACAGAUUUCGGUUUACCUAAAGAACCAAAGCCGUUCCUCGUUUUGUUUCCCCCCUUUCCUCUCUGGCCCCUGCUGCCUCCCUGGGGGCUGCCAACCUCACCUGUUUUUCUUUGUCGUUGCCUCCCAGCAGAAAUGUGAGUACAGCUCGAAAUUAAAAGAGCAAAGCCUAUCAGUGCUGCUGAAUCACUGGUUGAAAAACGCAGCUCAAAGAAACGGGAUCUUUUCUCACAUGUAUGGUGAUAAGGUGCUUAAAUGCCAACAUGAUAAGAACAAGAUAAAUAAGAGCCAAAAGCCCUGUGAUGCACCCAAAAAUGUCAGGCUGGCGCCACAUGCUGUCCAAUGCAAUGUUUGGGAUGAUCUAGGGGCUGGAAGAAGAGUAUGUGCUUUUCAUUUACACAAUUUAUUCUUUUAAAGCAUCAAACUGCUAUGAAACACUUCCCCCACUGCAGCGGUGAAGUGUCUGGCCACGCCAUCCCUGCAGUGGUGCACGGACCCCGUGCACAGAUACACACAUGGCUCGUAUUUCAUCUCUUUGUUUGGGGCUGCUGGAGGCAUAGCUCCUCGAGGGGCUGCCACCUUCGCCCAACAGCCCUGGAAGCGGGGCUCGGAGCAGCUCAGGCCACUCUGUAUCACCAGGCUGAUGCAUCUCCACCCUCCAGGCACCUGGGGCCCUGCCCUCCUCUCUUCUAAGGGCUCAGUGGGGACAAGGGAACUGAAGCCAUUCUGACCAUUAUCCCAGCCAGCCCUUUCCCCUUUUCAAGGGAAAAGCUUUUACCCAUACUUAGGUCCAUUGGGUACUUUAGAACACAGGAUGUAUCACACAUCGUUAGUGGAAUAUAGUCUAACAAAACUGCGAAGAAAUCUUCACCUGCAGUGGUCUCAUCGUUAGAAGUAAUAUUCAUAUAUUCCAUUAUUCUAUGUUAUUUUGAAAUUAUUACAUACAUUAUACUUUAAAUAAGUAAUUAUGUUACUGUUAUGUUAGUGAUAACGUUGUUAAGAACCAUAAUUUUCAUUGGAAGAUAGAGGAGAUGAAGCGUAACGUUAAAAAUAAACUUAGAUCACUUUUGAUUAAACUUGAAUUUGAACUAUUUGGAUAUUUGAAAUUUGAACUUGGUAUCUCAAAGAUUCAAAUAUAUUUGAAUUUGUGAUGUGAAUAUAAAUUCAUGUUUUUAAACGUUUAAAAAUUUUAAACGUUUAAAAAAUUCAAAAUGUUAAAAUACCCUAGCUCUGCCCACUGAAAAGACCCCGUAGCAAUGACAACCCAGUAACAAUGAGCAUGUUAGCUCCCAAACUGUGGUCUCUAAACAUGAUUCCCUGCUAAAAGGAACUGGCGAUUCUCGGAGAGGUCACUGGUUCCAGAUGCAGAGUGGCAAAUGACACACUGAGACUAGAUCAUCUUGUUAUGCUAGAAAGCAAGGAGGCUGUCCACAGGCCGAAGGUGGACAAGUUUACCAUCAAAAAGAAAAAUGGGGGCUGGCCCCCUGGCCGAGUGGUUAAGUUCGCGCGCUCCUUUUUGGUGGCCUGUGGUUUCUCCAGUUCGGAUCCGGGGCGUGGACAUGGCACGUCCAGAAGGACCUACAACUAGAAUAUACAACUACGUACCGGAGGGCUUUGGGAGAAGAAGGAAGAACAAAAAAAAGAAGACUGGCAACAGAUGUUGCCAAUCUUUAAAAAAAAGAAAAAUGACAAUUGAUUGAAACACACUAAUUAAAUAAAUAUCCCUGAAUUUAUAAUGAUACUCAAAAAAGAAAGCCAAAGCAACUAACACAACUCAUGUGCCGCUACUGGAGGUAGUCUAGCGACUCUGUACUCUGAAAAUUAGCAACUACAGGUAAAGAAUUAAGUCUUGAUCUGCCUUUCCUGCCAAAACUCUAUUUGCAAGUCACAGAAUAGCUCUAGCUGAUGAAGGAAGACUCUUCUUACAGAAGUAUUCUAGAUAGUAAAUGUAGAAAGAAUAAUGGAAUUAGAAAAAUCACCUUUUUACAACACCUAAUAAAAUAAUUCAUUCAAGCAAUAAACAUCUACGAAUGCUAAAACUAAGAAACAAAAUAUUAUUGAGGAAACUGGAUAUUCCGAGGGAGCCAAAAGGUCACACUACAACUCCACAACUAGGAAUCAACCAGUCAUGGCCUAGACCUACUCAUCAAUCAGCGUUGUUAAAAGCAGGGCAAAUUGAUAUUUUGCAUUUCCUGGUGUGAGGUAAUAUGAGGUACAUAGGGCCACCUGGGAAGCGUCUGUGCCAAAAGUGUUAGUCCUGAAUCUAAUCAACACUUUAUAUCUAAUUCUGGGUUACAGAGACAUAGGAGAUGGAAACAGGUCAAAAAAAUCAGCAAAAUCUAGAAUGUCGUGGGACAACUGAUACAGGCUCUUUGAGAAGUUACUGUCUGAGAAACAGGUGACUGGGGAGAUGAACAUGCCAGACAAAAAAGAGACUUGAGACAUCUCAACCUCAAAACGGCAGCAACAGAAUCGUUUUCGUUAAAUCUGUAUCUUGAAUUUGCAUAUGUAUUUUAGCAAAGGAUUGUGGUUGGCUUGUUGACUAAUGUAGUUGCUUCUACCAACCUCUUGUGAAGGAAGGAGCUGGCUGUCGAUUCCUGCACCCCUUCCCAAGUUCUCUGCCCUCCCCUUCCCGCCUCCACUGAGGUCCAGAGGGGACAAACUGAUGAAACUGAUAGCAAGCAGAGGGGCAUAAACAGAGAAACAGUUCUUACUCAAAAUGGAGCUUGUGUGAGGCAGUCACAGAUUCUGGCGGGUCACAGAGUCAAGUGCUGUAAUAAAAACCAGAUAAUUUUGUGACCAAUAAUAACAGUUAUAGUCACAUUUCCUGAGAUGAAAGUAAUCAAAUCUCCUGCUCUGUCUGUGAUGGCGAUCAUUGUGCACUGUGCAGGACUGUGCUGCAGGGGUCUAAAAAGAAAUUUCCCCCUAACUGUGUGUAGAAUAUUAAUAGUCGAUUAGCGCUCUCUCUCGAAGUAUCAGAUAGAGGUGGCUCUAAUGGGAACAGUGGUCCAAAACACAAACCCCAUUUAGUCAAGCCUCUUGUUUAAAAUUCAGAACAUGUUUAUAUACAUGUACAUAUGUGUGUGUAUAUGUGUGUAUCCAGUUUCAUUUGACUUAUACUCACACUGUCAGAAUUAUUCUGAUUUCUUUUUAAAAAUUUUAACUGGAUGAGUUUCUUAUUGAAUCAUAGUUAGAAGCUGAAAAAUUCCAAGUUAGUAGCAGAGAUUAAGUAUCCCUAAAAGGAAUAUCAGAGUAUAAAAUAAAUUUAAUUAUGUAAUAGGCCAUAAUCUACCUAGAUCAAUGAUUGUUUCUACUUUUUUUUUUUUUUGGUCACAGAUUCCUUUGAGGAUCUUAUGAAUAUUCAGGUUUCUCUUCAGAGAAAGAUGUAAAUAUGUGAAAAAUUAGUCACAGUUUCAGAGGGUACCUGCCAACUCCCCACUGUGGCAGAUUGCAUCCUCCAAAGACAGCCACAAUAAUAGCUUCCGUCCCACAGAUUCUUCUGCAGUGUGACUUGCUGCUUUCCCAUCAAGAGGUGGAGUCUAAUUCUCCCCUUGCUUCUGGGAAAUGAUUUGCUGAAACAAAAGAAAAUGCAGUAGAAGAAAUAUUCUGGGACUUCCAAGCUUAGAUCACAAGAAGCAUUGGCACUUUUGGAAGACUCACUCUCAGGACACGAGCUCUCAUGACACUCUAUCUCUGAGCAUCGUCACAUGUGGCCUCUCAGGUUGGCACGUUCAGCUGAGCUCAUAGCCAACAACUAGCACCAAUUGCCGGCCCUGUGAGGGAGCCAUCAGAUGAUUCACCCCAGCCAAGAGCCAACUGAGGCAAGUGCACACCUGAGCCCAGCUGGCCCACAGAGCCAUGAGUGAUAACAACAAACUGUGGUUUUCAGCCCCUGAGUUUUGGGGUGAUUUGUUACACAGCAGUAGAUAACCGUAACACCCACUUACCCCUGUUGAGAACCACUGCUCUUAAUGAUUUAUGGAGUAAAGGAAAUAAAGUUACUGGAUUGCAGUUAAAAUUCUUAGCUCUAACAAUUUACUAGCUGCAUAUUUGUGUAUCUUAUAAAAAUUACUACCUAAGUUUUUACAACAUUUAGAUAUGUUCUGAUUUGAGUAUUUUGGCUUUUUAUUUCAUUUGCAAAUCAAUGAGUACACCUGGCUAUUUAGAAAUCAAGACCACCUUGAUUUCAAUACCAGAAAACAGAAGAAAAACCUUUCGAAAAAAAUUGUUUCUUAAGCUUUGACCCAGAACUUCCACUUUUAGAUAUUUUUCCCUUAAAAAUAAAUGGUUAAUGUAGAUAAAGAUUUAGUUACAAACACGUUUAUCACAGCAUUGCAUCUAAUAGGGGGAAACUGGAAACAACCUAAAUGCAGAUCAAAAAGAGAUUUAAUCAAUGAUGGUAUUCCCAUGCUAUAGAAUACUAUGCAAC